rnacentral:misc_RNA from 1 species
AAAUUUCAAGUUUGAAGCUGUUAUAAUUUCGGAGAUUUCGUGAUGAGUGAGUCAACCUACCAUCCCCCGUUUUAACCCCAAAAGGGGUUGAUUUCUAAAUAUACAUUAUUUGGACACCUUCUCACCAUCUCUAGAGCAUACAUUUUAAAUUUCAAGUCUCUUACUACUAAAACAUAGGACUUUCAUACAAACUUCCAACCCCCGUUUUACCCUCUUAGGGGUCGAGUUUCAUAAAAUCCAUUCUUAGCGGUAGUUUACGCCUUAUAAGGGGCCUACCUGCUAAAUUUUAAGUUUGUAGGUG